rnacentral:rRNA from 1 species
UGGGGAAUAUUGGGCAAUGGGGGAAACCCUGACCCAGCAACGCCGCGUGAAGGAAGUAGGCUUUCGGGUUGUAAACUUCUUUUAGCAGGGACGAAGGACGUGACGGUACAUGCAGAAAAAGCAACGGCUAACUAGGUGCCAGCAGCCGCGGUAAUACGUAGGUUGCAAGCGUUGUCCGGAUUUACUGGGUGUAAAGGGCGUGUAGGCGGAGAAGCAAGUUGGGAGUGAAAUCUAUGGGCUUAACCCAUAAACUGCUCUCAAAACUGUUUCCCUUGAGUAUCGGAGAGGCAAGCGGAAUUCCUAGUGUAGCGGUGAAAUGCGUAGAUAUUAGGAGGAACACCAGUGGCGAAGGCGGCUUGCUGGACGACAACUGACGCUGAGGCGCGAAAGCGUGGGGAGCAAACAGG